GUCGAUCCUGGCGAUGGCGGUCGCCGCCGCUCUGACCGGGGAGCUGGGCCGGCGGCUGUUCGGGCCGCUGGUCGGCU
rnacentral:tRNA from 1 species